UCACCACUUAUAGGCAGCCGGGGGCGGAGCUCGCGAGCGCGGGGGACGCCCCUCCCAGCAGGACACCAGGUCUGGGCCAGCAGCGCUCCGGGCCUCCCGGUGCUAGCUGCUCGGCCAGAAGUCACCCGGAGGGCGCGAACAACCGGCGCCUUUGCAGGGCCACCGCAGAAGAAACCCGAGAAGGGAUCGGGUAGCCCGCAUCGUGGCAGGGAGACCGUGCGUGGACCCCGAGGGGACAACCGUGGAGACGUUUCCUGAAAAGGGCCGAUUGGCAGAGUAAUCCUCCACAUUGAAACUCCAGCCAGCUUGCACCCUUGGAGCGCGGGCCUAAUGACACCUGCUAAUGAGGAGAACCACUCAGGAGCACGGGCCUUGUAUCUGGACUCUCUAUCAGAAGCCCCAAAGAAAACUUUUCCGUUCUCUCUCCUCACUCAGAGGUGGUGUGGCUAUGUCUGCUGAACCUGUACAAUGGGGUGGCGUAUCCCAAACGUCUUUUGAAGAAAACCUAAGGUAUGUUUACAUGGGGUACUCAGGAAAAGGACAUCUAACAAACUGAGAAUUUCCUAUUUUUUUUUUAAAUUUUAUUGACCCUCAAGCAAAACACAAACUCUCCUGAUUCCUUGCUCAUAUGUCACCGUGUGCCAAUAACAAGAACCUCUGUGUUCUUUACAUUAAUGGCUGUGUGCCUUAAGCAUGGGUGUUGAGCUGUCCCCAAUCUCCAGGUGUCUUAACUUUCAAUCCGUGAAGAUUAUUUACUGCGGACUUGGAGAAACAGCUGAGCUGCUAUGUGCCUCGAAGUGUGACAUGGAACUUCUGUUCGCCUUGUCACCAAGGAGUCCCUAGAAACCAGGGGCGUGGAGCAGACCAGACAGGAGCUGACC